GAUGAACGCUGGCGGCGUGCUUAACACAUGCAAGUCGAGCGGGAUCCCGGGGGUUCGCUUCCGGGUGAGAGCGGCGAACGGGUGAGUAAUGCGUGACCGACCUGCCCCAUACACCGGAAUAGCUCCUGGAAACGGGUGGUAAUGCCGGAUGCUCCGGUUGGAUGCAUGUCCUUCCGGGAAAGAUUCUAUCGGUAUGGGAUGGGGUCGCGUCCUAUCAGCUUGAUGGCGGGGUAACGGCCCACCAUGGCUUCGACGGGUAGCCGGCCUGAGAGGGCGACCGGCCACAUUGGGACUGAGAUACGGCCCAGACUCCUACGGGAGGCAGCAGUGGGGAAUAUUGCACAAUGGGCGCAAGCCUGAUGCAGCGACGCCGCGUGCGGGAUGGAGGCCUUCGGGUUGUAAACCGCUUUUGAUCGGGAGCAAGCCCUUCGGGG
rnacentral:rRNA from 1 species